AAAUACUAUACUCUGAAAAAAAAAUCGUUUAAUUCUUCAAAGAAAUUCAGUUUAAUUGUCAUAGAGGCAUUAUUUUGUUAAAGUAGCUCAUUUGUCAAAAAAAAAAUUUAAGGGACAGUCCAUGUAAACUUGUUAAGUGACCCUUUGAUUAAAAUAUGUCAUUAAUAGUUCGCAAUGAUACCCUUAAUUAUAUAUCGAUGGCGGUCAUGAUGAACAAAUCUUUUAAGGUUGAGGUUAAAGGUACCUGUGUGUUUCCAAGGUUGAGUUUAAAGGUACCUGUGUGUAUCCAAGGUUGAGGUUAAAGGUACCUUUGUGUUUCCAAGGUUGAGGUUAAAGGUACCUUUGUGUAUCCAAGGUUGAGUUUAAAGGUACCUUUGUGUAUCCAAGGUUGAGGUUAAAGGUACCUUUGUGUUUCCAAGGUUGAGGUUAAAGGUACCUUUGUGUUUCCAAGGUUGAGGUUAAAGGUACCUUUGUGAAUUGUUGAUGUUACUCAGGAAAUGAAUGGUCACCUUUAAUUACGAUGACAGUCCCUUUAAAUUGUUUUCCUAUUUUGUGAUCCUCGUGCUGUGACAAAAUUUGUGAUUUAAAAUUCAUAAAUUGUAAAAAAAAAUAUUUUUUAAUCGUUUAUUUUUCUGUUUUAUUUUUGGAUUCGAUAAUUUUUUCAGUUCAAGUUUUGUCACAAUAAUUUCUUUUUUCCUGAAGUGGAGAACCCAUCUACAACUAAAAUCACACGAAAAACUAAAUUUAUAAAUCAUAAAACAUCUUAAAAGAAAUGGUAACUAAUUUUUGAAAAGUAAAUUUUGUCGGUUGGUACAUUCAGACCAGACAGUUGUAAAGAUUCACUUUAAAAUACUCGGCUAAUUCAAUUUUAAUAAAAUUUCAUUUAAGAUUGUAAAAUUAAAGAAAGUUCCAAAUCAUAUCAUGUUUACGUGUUUGUGCACUGAUGCAGGGUGUUCCAUUAAACAUGGGAUUUUAUAGACGACUUAAUGGUCUGAAUAGUAGAAUAAAGCUAAGCUUGUAUACGUGAGCUUUCCUGUAUAUCUUAAUGGUUAUGUGAAUUCCGGAAAAAAAAAUAUAAACACGUACACAGAAGAUGACAUUCCUCAUAUCUCAUGACUAGGUGUAUUCGGUUUCAAUUGUUACAACGGCAAUACUUCAAUUUUUGGUUGAACGCGAUAAAUGUUGCUUUUGCUAAAGUUGGCAUUUAUUUCAUUUGUUUGUUGGGACACCCUGUGUUGUUUUCGGUAUUUAUCCUGUUAUAUGAGAGAUUUAAGAUUCUACUUUUAACAAUUUGAUAAAAUGACACACAGCGUAAUAACAUACACAAGAAAGUGCUUGAAAUAUUUAUUCACGUAAAAUGCAGAUAUUAUUAUAUUUAUCAUUUGUGUAAAAAUAUUUUAUUUUUGGAUAAAUAUUGUUUUUUUGAAAAAGUAGAAUUUCAAAUACUACUCUGUUUAUAUAUCUUAUUGUAGUUUAAAUUGUCAGAUUGUUGUCAAAACAUUUUACUGGGUACAAUGUGCCCUGUACUUAGUCCUUAGUCUCAAAGUACCCAGUACAUAUUGCCAAGAAAAACUAAAAUCAUAAAAAACGUGUGCGAAAUAAAACUUGAAUUUUAA
rnacentral:lncRNA from 1 species